rnacentral:rRNA from 1 species
AUUGAACGCUAGCGGGAUGCUUUACACAUGCAAGUCGAACGGCAGCGCGGACUUCGGUCUGGCUGCGAGUGGCGAACGGGUGAGUAAUGUAUCGGAACGUGCCCAGUAGCGGGGGAUAACUACGCGAAAGCGUAGCUAAUACCGCAUACGCCCUACGGGGGGAAAGCAGGGGAUCGUAAGACCUUGCACUAUUGGAGCGGCCGAUAUCGGAUUAGCUAGUUGGUGAGGUAACGGCUCACCAAGGCGACGAUCCGUAGCUGGUUUGAGAGGACGACCAGCCACACUGGGACUGAGACACGGCCCAGACUCCUACGGGAGGCAGCAGUGGGGAAUUUUGGACAAUGGGGGCAACCCUGAUCCAGCCAUCCCGCGUGUGCGAUGAAGGCCUUCGGGUUGUAAAGCACUUUUGGCAGGAAAGAAACGUCGCGGGCUAAUACCCCGUGGAACUGACGGUACCUGCAGAAUAAGCACCGGCUAACUACGUG